UUUUUCCCCCGGGGCGGAACGGCAACAGCUCAAAUUUGAAAUCUGGCUCUCGGGCCCGAGUUGUAAUUUGUAGAGGAUGCUUUUGGCGCGGCGCCUUCUGAGUUCCCUGGAACGGGACGCCAUAGAGGGUGAGAGCCCCGUAGAGUUGGACGCCUAGCCUCUGUAAAGCUCCUUCGACGAGUCGAGUAGUUUGGGAAUGCUGCUCAAAAUGGGAGGUAAAUUUCUUCUAAAGCUAAAUACCGGCUGGAGACCGAUAGCGCACAAGUAGAGUGAUCGAAAGAUGAAAAGCACUUUGAAAAGAGGGUUAAACAGCACGUGAAAUUGUUGAAAGGGAAGCGCUUGUGACCAGACUUGUGCCUUGCCAAUCAUCCGGCGUUCUCGCCGGUGCACUUGGCUUGGCCCAGGCCAGCAUCAGUUUUCUCAGGGGGAGAAAAGCGCCGGGAACGUAGCUCCCUCGGGAGUGUUAUAGCCCGGCGCACAAUACCUCUGGGGGGACUGAGGACCGCGCAUUGCAAGGAUGCUGGCGUAAUGGUCAUCAGCGACCCGUCUUGAAACACGCCCCAAGGGAGAAAAAAAAGGAA
rnacentral:rRNA from 1 species